rnacentral:rRNA from 1 species
AUUGAACGCUGGCGGCAUGCCUUACACAUGCAAGUCGAACAGUAACAGGGUGCUUGCACCGCUGACGAGUGGCGAACGGGUGAGUAAUGCGUCGGAACGUGCCGAGUAGUGGGGGAUAACGCAGCGAAAGUUGUGCUAAUACCGCAUACGUACUGAGGUAGAAAGUGGGGGACCUUCGGGCCUCACGCUAUUCGAGCGGCCGACGUCUGAUUAGCUAGUAGGUGAGGUAAGAGCUCACCUAGGCGACGAUCAGUAGCGGGUCUGAGAGGAUGAUCCGCCACACUGGGACUGAGACACGGCCCAGACUCCUACGGGAGGCAGCAGUGGGGAAUUUUGGACAAUGGGCGCAAGCCUGAUCCAGCCAUGCCGCGUGUCUGAAGAAGGCCUUCGGGUUGUAAAGGACUUUUGUCAGGGAGGAAAUCCUAGUGGCUAAUAACUGCUGGGGAUGACAGUACCUGAAGAAUAAGCACCGGCUAACUACGUGCCAGCCGCCGCGGUAACAC